rnacentral:lncRNA from 1 species
UGUAGAUGUUGUAUCCCUGCUUUUUCUGAAUAAUUUUAUUACCCUAUGCAAUAGGAGCUGUUAUCACUGCAGAACCAAGGUCACCUGUGGAAGCUCCUUGCUGAAGCCAGUUUUCUAUCAGAUCAUCCAUCAGGCCUAGCAGUCCCUUUUGUACAGACCACACAACUGGUGCCAAUGGCGUCGCUGCCUGACUUUAAACUGUCCUGCCACUAGGAACCCUCACUGUCCAGCUCCAUAGUGCAACCAGAAGGAGGUGAGGUUUUGGCAUCUUCAGGGAGUAUCCUCAGUCUUCCUAUGUUUUGGAAUGAGUUCCAUUUCGCUGCAAAAAGAGGAGCUUCUGGGAUGAUAAAAUGAGGCAUAUCCUGCACCACUACAUGUGUCCAUACAUGAUCUGAGCAGGAAGAGCAGUGGACAAGGAGUCUGGAAUGCUGGCUCAAGUUCUGAGUCAGCCACAGCCUGCUGUGUGACUCUGAGUGAGUCACUAAGCUUCCCUGGAUUCAGUUUCCUCAACAGUCAAAUUUCUAUGGCCUUUUGGGCACCACCAUGCAUGAGAACACAAAGAGAGCAUGAUUACUCAGGGGUGUGUGCAUGUGUGAGGCCCAUCAAUGAGAGAGACAACAUUUAGAUAGGAGUACUGGACAUUUGAAAAUUCUUACACCCUGUGAUGUGACAUGGAGAAGUGACCAACACAACUUUGCCAACUAUACUCCAUUCUUAGUAACUGCCGAUUAGGAAGGAUUUCUUUCUAAGUCUGUCACUAAUUCAACUGUUAUUCACAAGAGAAGUAGAGGCAAAUGAUAGCAGCUUGAUCGUUGAUUUUUGAUUUAGAUGAUCAAUGAUGUUCAGAAUAGUGUUUGUAUGUGUGAGCAUGGAUGUGUAUGUCGUGUGUGUGUCUGUGUAUGUGGUGUGUGUGUCUGUGUAUAUUGUGUGUGUGUGUGUGCAUGCGUGUGUGCAGGGUAGGUAUCACCACAUUCCCUGUGGUGGUGUGUCUCUUCUCUGGGAUUGGUUCUUCUAGAAUCUCCCACCUUUUAGAACCACUUUAAGAUAUUUAUUUAUUCUCUCCAACCAUCCUGGCAAUCUUUUUAUCCUUAAACAGGAAUAAAUUCCUACAGCUGAAUCUAUUCAGGAUUUCUGUGUGUAUGUGUGAAAAUUUAUAUGAUGCUCAAUCCUUUAAAAAUCUUUUAUUCAAGUAACUUUAAAAGUAAAACACAAGGUGUUUUAUCAUAAAAAGUGAGAGAUGUUAGUCCACUUAAUUUCUUGCUUGCUUUCUUUUGUGUCCCUAGAUUACUUAGCCUCUGUUUCCAGCCAG